CAAUAGCGUAUAUUAAAGUUGUUGCAGUUAAAAAGCUCGUAGUUGGAUUUCUGGUGGGAGCGAUCGGUCUGGCGCUUAGCGCGAGUACUUGCAUCGUCUCCGGCCAUCCUUGGGGAGAGUCUGUCUGGCAUUAGGUUGUCGGGCAGAGGAUCCUCAUCGUUUACUGUGAAAAAAUUAGAGUGUUAAAAGCAGGCUUAUGCCGUUGAAUAUAUUAGCAUGGAAUAAUAAGAUAGGACUUUGGUACUAUUUUGUUGGUUUGCGCACCAAAGUAAUGAUUAAUAGGGACAGUUGGGGGUAUUCGUAUUCCGUUGUCAGAGGUGAAAUUCUUGGAUUUACGGAAGACGAACUACUGCGAAAGCAUUUACCAAGGAUGUUUUCAUUAA
rnacentral:rRNA from 1 species